rnacentral:rRNA from 1 species
GACGAACGCUGGCGGCGCGCUUAACACAUGCAAGUCGAACGGAAAGGCCUGCUUUCCCUUGUGGAUUGCGGGUACUCGAGUGGCGAACGGGUGAGUAACACGUGAGUGAUCUGCCCCCAACUUGGGUAUAAGCCUGGGAAACUGGGUCUAAUUCCCGAUAGGACUGCAGGGUGGUGCCUGUGGUGGAAAACGAUUUUCUAGUGGUUGGGGAUGAGCUCGCGGCCUAUCAGCUUGUUGGUGGGGUAAUGGCCUACCAAGGCGGCGACGGGUAGCCGGCCUGGGAGGGUGGACGGCCACAUUGGGACGGAGAUACGGCCCAGACUCCUACGGGAGGCAGCAGUGGGGAAUAUUGCACAAUGGGCGGAAGCCUGAUGCAGCGACGCCGCGUGGGGGAUGACGGCCUUCGGGUUGUAAACUCCUUUCGACCGCGAGGAAGCCACCUGGUUGGAAGGGUGGUGACGGUAGUGGUAGAAGAAGCACCGGCUAACUACGUG